rnacentral:rRNA from 1 species
GUGAACGCUGGCGGUAGGCCUAACACAUGCAAGUCGAACGGCAGCACAGUAAGAGCUUGCUCUUACGGGUGGCGAGUGGCGGACGGGUGAGGAAUACAUCGGAAUCUACUUUUUCGUGGGGGAUAACGUAGGGAAACUUACGCUAAUACCGCAUACUACCUACGGGUGAAAGCAGGGGAUCUUCGGACCUUGCGCGAUUGAAUGAGCCGAUGUCGGAUUAGCUAGUUGGCGGGGUAAAGGCCCACCAAGGCGACGAUCCGUAGCUGGUCUGAGAGGAUGAUCAGCCACACUGGAACUGAGACACGGUCCAGACUCCUACGGGAGGCAGCAGUGGGGAAUAUUGGACAAUGGGCGCAAGCCUGAUCCAGCCAUACCGCGUGGGUGAAGAAGGCCUUCGGGUUGUAAAGCCCUUUUGUUGGGAAAGAAAAGCAGCAGGUUAAUACCCCGCUGUUCUGACGGUACCCAAAGAAUAAGCACCGGCUAACUUCGUG